rnacentral:tRNA from 1 species
GAAAUAAAUGUAGUAAAGAUUUCUAAUCUUUAAAUUAAUAAUUGAUUUUAUUAUUAUUUCU